UACGUAGGGGGCUAGCGUUGUCCGGAAUCAUUGGGCGUAAAGCGCGUGUAGGCGGUUCGGUAAGUCCGCUGUGAAAGUCGGGGGCUCAACCCUCGAAUGCCGGUGGAUACUGUCGGACUAGAGUACGGAAGAGGCGAGUGGAAUUCCUGGUGUAGCGGUGGAGUGCGCAGAUAUCAGGAAGAACACCAACGGCGAAGGCAGCUCGCUGGGACGGUACUGACGCUGAGACGCGAAAGCGUGGGGAGCGAACAGG
rnacentral:rRNA from 1 species